rnacentral:rRNA from 1 species
CACGUAGGGCGCAAGCGUUGUCCGGAAUUAUUGGGCGUAAAGAGCUCGUAGGCGGUCUGUUGCGUCCGCUGUGAAAACUCGGGGCUUAACCCCGAGCCUGCAGUGGAUACGGGCAGACUAGAGGUAGGUAGGGGAGAAUGGAAUUCCCGGUGUAGCGGUGAAAUGCGUAGAGAUUGGGAAGAACACCGGUGGCGAAAGCGCUCUGCUGGGCCUUAUCUGACACUCAGGGACGAAAGCUAGGGGAGCGAAUGGG